ensembl:lncRNA LOC120098573 uncharacterized LOC120098573
UUGGAGAUGGAUUUCAAGUUGCAGAUAUGAAAGUGCACACACACACACACACACACACACACACACACACACACACACACACACACACACUGGCCUGCUCCUUUCACAAGAAGCUGUUGUAAAUGCAGGCUGCCUUACUCUCUGCGGUUGGAGGUGUGGAAAGAAACAAGAAACAGAAAAGAACAAUUUGAAGAGAACCUGAAUUUACAAUCUGGGAGCCAGGGAGUAAACAUUGCACUGUAAGCUGGAUCAUCAGUUUGUGCCAACAGAAGAAGAAGAUGUGUCUUACAAGUCAAAGCAAAACCCAAGACAGUAGGUCAACCGUGGUCCUAGGAUCUUGCUGGGAAUCUGAGCAGAAAACACGAGGAAUGGAAAGUGCCUAGAGUGACAGCUCCAAGGGAAACCUCCAAAGCUGAGUGCACUGAUAAACACCUACAGUCCCAGCGAUCUAUAGCCAGAGGCAGGAGGAUCACAAGUGUGAAGACAGCCCUGGUCUACACAGUGAGUUCCAGGCAAGCCAAGGUUAUAUGAUGGAGACUGAGAACUAGCAAAUUUCGGACCUGUCCAGAGUCAGCCUGUGAAUUUAAAUCAGAGCUGGGGACAAAAGAAAAACCUCACUGUUUCGAAGCUGUGGACACUGGGACAUCACAAGCUCAGGCUUCCCGCUUAAGGAUGGAACUCUGCAUAGAGCGAUGUCAACUUCUUGAUCAACGGAGAAUCCCAUGUUGAAUCUCUCUCGAAGAUAAUUUACUCCAAGUAAAAGAUUUUCCUGUUAAGUAUUACUUAUGAUUGAACAAUAGGUAUCAUUAGGUAAGAAUUUUGAGGAUGAGUAAGUUCCUUGCAAAAAUGAAUACAAAACUUGCCUCUGAUCAGCCUGAUUAGAACACUGACAGGAGGAGGAGGAGGAAUCUGUGAUGAUGUUUUGAUAAACGCCCUCACUCAGGUGCCCUAACAUUUACAUGUUAAGUUUCAACUAUGGAUUCUGCACACAUUUACAAUACUUCCUCUCAACCAAUGUAAGAGACAGCCUGAGGCUGGCUAGAUGGGUGGAGGGGAAACGGGCCUGCCUUUGAGCAUGUGACCAUGUGAGUUCUCUUCCUGGGGUUCACACGGUGGAAAGAGAGAACUGGCUCUCUCAAGGUAUCCUCUGACACCUACAUAUGCACAUUGACACAUGCAGAUUUGUGUGCACAAACACAAAUCAAAAAAUGAAUACGUAGCAAUGUUUUAUUUAGAAAGACACACUGUCUGGGCCCAGCAGCCUCCCCCUAGCUAAUAUGGAAUCUAUCUAUAAAUCCUCCUGUAGUUGAGCUGUCUAAAUUACAGGUGACAUAAUUUAGGACAUGACCUAAGUCAAGAACCCACACUGAAUAAUACCCUCAGAGACCGAUGUCUAUCCAUUAACAGAAGCCUUCAAAAGCAUCUAAUCUUUCUUUCUCAGACCCUGGUUGUGCGUUGGGAGAAACAAAAAAUGAAUGAUCCCCUUUAAGAACCAUAUUGUUGGGGCUGGAGAGAUGGCUCAGCAGUUAAGAGCACUGACUGCUCUUCCUGAGGUCCUGAGUUCAAAUCCCAGCAACCACAUGGUGGCUCACAAUCAUCUGUAAUGAGAUCUAAUGCUCUCUUCUGGUGUGUCUGAAGACCACUACAGUGUAUUCAUAUAUAAUAAAUAAAAAUUUAAAAAACA